GAGAAAGAGUAAAAAAGCACAUAGUGAAAAAAACACUCAAGUACUGAGUAACAUUUAUUUUUUAACGUGCAUUCAAUCAGAUAAACAUAACGUACAUAAAGAAUUAAAUAUUUACGAAAUAACUUAAAUUACAGCACAAGUAACAAAAACUUCCGACCCUCUGUGGAUAAAAACACGUCUUUGAGGCUACAAGCAGAUCAAGCUCAGCACUGAGUACCCAUGUAACCUAACAGGACAAACAUUCGCCUAUCCACAACAAAAAGAAAAAAAAAGAAGAUUUGUAGGUCAAACUUAUCGCAACAUGUUUCCUUAGGUUGGAUGAUGAGCUUUUGAAAGCUGAAAUAUCCGUCUGUUUGGGCCGACACAGAAGACACCGCAUGAUGAAACAGCUGUUUCGCACUGUUUGUAACGUGAACGUACUUUUAAUAUGAGGCCAGGGGUGUGCCUGUCUUUGUCAGCAUUGCUGACCGUUGAUUCGGCCAUUUUUUGCUGUGGUGGAUAUUGACUGCUAAACUAAUCCGUCCCGCUGCCGAGAUCGAGUAUGGUCACAUGACGAGACUGCGCAACAAGGGCUACAUUUUAUUGGUUACAGUCACGCGGUAGAGCCUUGGGCGGAAGUCACGCUCUGACAAAAUAAAAGUAGAGAUACUGGAUCAUGGCUCUAUAGAGAAUAGAGAAUAUAGCUAAAGCUUUAUCCAGUAUCUCUGUAAUGAGUAACAAGCUCAGUAUAGCCUAAUGUAGCGGAGUAAGAGUACUGUUUUUUCUUCAUAAAUCUACUCCAGUAAAGGUUAAAAGUAUAGUGAUUUAAUACUUCUCCUAGAAGUAUUUUAUUUUGAAAAACCUCAAGUAAAUGUAACGGAGUAAGUGUAAUUCGUUACUACCCACCUCUGGAACCUAGCACAGCACGCUAGCAAAUUCAUCUGUUCUAUCUGCAAUACAGCAUUGUACAGGCUGGGGAAAAGGUGUUUAAUGUACGAAGACAAAUGGCAGCCACAACAGCUUUAGCACUGCUACUGACCGCAGAUAACUAGUCAGGGCUAGCAGUAGUUCUGUGAUGCUCUUUGCCCCCAACUGUGGUGCGCUAAAAUGUUAAUUAAUUAUAACAAAUAAUUAGAUUUAACACUGAUAUUCUCCUCUUCAACUACAUUGAAUCUGAAGUUUUAAAAAUGUUUCGUUUUUUUUUAUUUGUGUACAAGUCAGUCUUCACCUAUGCUAGGCUAGGUCAAGCUAACCGCACUAACAGUAUAACUUCUCCUUUGAGUUUUUCCAGGUCUGUAAAUGGCAUUAGUUCUUUCUGGGAUUGAUCCGAGUCAUCUCAAAAAAUAGUUGUCUAAUUAUUCUCAAGGAUUUUCAGUUCACAGGUAUAGAGAUAUUUUUGUAAGCAUUCUGUGUACAUCAAACGAUCAGCCAUAACUGGACCAUAACUUCCUCAUGUUACAAAUGGAAAACAAUUACAUUUUUAAAAAAAACGAGUUUGUGAAGUUGGCUCAAACAGUUAUUCAAAUGGGAAUUUUGCACAGAAAAAAAAUCAGCAAGCUACACACUCUCACACACACCCUGUCCAAGGACAUUUAGCAAAAUACUGCUGCUGCCGCCGAGCUGCCAAUCACACCAGAGUUGGCAUUCAGGGCUUGCCGCCAGAGCAUUUACACUGCCUGUGAUCUUUACUAAAUGAGAAAUAACCCCGGCCUGUCCACGCUGGCCAGGAUGUGAAACCAAUGCACUCCACAAAAUCAUUCACAUGCAAAUGUUGUUAGACUGUCAUUUAACUCUGCGGCCACAAGGUGGAUAAUCAUCCAGGGAGUAACCUCAACCAAUGACUGCUGAGAGCCAGCAUCCCCACAACCUUGGAAAGGGUUAGGUGGUAGAAAAUGGGUCAAACUGAGUAAAAACUCGAUUUACUUUGAUUUAAACAUUUAGAUCCAAAUAAUUAAGGUGAUGGUUAAAAUUGAUGGGUUAAUGUUACAAAGUUCCAGUGUAAAAUAGGGUAGGUGCACCUCCCCUGGGGGCCGCCAAAGAGUCACAGGGGAGGUCCUUACCUACUCUGUGGGGGGACUCACAUUCACCUAAUUUGAAAACACCUGAUGUAGGUCAACGUAGAGUUUGUUUUCCCAAUUGUGACUUUGGUGUCAAUUCUUCCACCCCAUCUCUGCACAGAUGACAACAACCUGACAGCUGUAAUUAAACAACAUAGCACCGACAGAGCUGUUCCGUCCACAACUGGCUGCAAAAAGGCCUCAUUAACGUCCUCGUCUUUGGUGACAUUUCGUUAUCACGCGCCGACAGACAUGCACAGAUAAACAUGUGCAGUAAAUAAUCACCAGCUUACGUUGGCAGUCAGAUAAUUUAUUGCACAUGUGUGCAGGCACGUACACACACACACAUACACACACGCCCACGCACACAGACACCAAGGCAUCAAUUAGUCUUUUCCCCCUCAAAGAGACAAUUUCUUCUUCUCACGCAGGUGCAAAUUAACUCUCUCCCAGUGCUGUGAACUGCUCUCUCUUAUUAAACAACGUGUAAGAGCGGCACAGAGAGGAAAGAGACCCGCGUAUUGGAUUCACACAAGGACUGAUCUAUUUUAUGAAUGAUUAAAAUGUCAAGGAGUAGCAGAAUUUCCACAACAAUUUGGUGUCAGAAGUGGGAUCCCUCGGGAAUCGUCCGGGACAGAGCGCGGUCAGCAACGGACCAUCCUGGAACAACAAAGGGUUUCCAGCCUCCAACUUUGAAAAACUUUUCUGAAAAGGGAGGGACUGAUUGAGGACGCUCCGGAUCGUUGCCGCUGGGAUUCCACGAAUGCGGUUCAACGAAGUUCAUCUGAAAAACAAUUCCUGGUUCGUCUUUAAGUGUCUGAUUUGAACUAGCCCGUCACAGGCCUGGAGACCUGGGCUUCAUCCCACCGACUGCACCCAAACACUUCCUCACCAAGACAAGACACAGAUUCAUCCAGCCUCUGUCCAGGUUUGUCCCAGAGCCGGAUCUCAAUGAAUGUGAGAGUGAUUGGAGAGUAACUAAGUGGAAGUCUAAAAUUCUUUGUGGUUCUGAGGUAUACUCCCAGACUGUGACCGCGUCCAGUUCUAUACUGGCCGUAGAAGCUUGUCACGGUGGAACCCACUGAAGCCCAAUAGAGGCAUUCUUCCUAUACUUGUUCUUGUUCAUAGUUCAUAUAGACAAUGGGAAAUUGUUGUAGUUAUUACUGUGGGGGGAAGAAAGAGGAAGAAUUAGAAGGGGAUGGUAAAUUCAUGGAUAGAUAUCAUCCAGGGUCGGCAAAAUAUUUAACUAAAUGGAAAAAGAAGUAUGAGUUUGAAGGAAGAUUACAACUAAAAUCACGUGAAGAUAGUCUUCAAAUUAACUCUAAAGGGUGGCGCUUUUGGCCCAGAUGUCUCUGUCAUUGGUGUGGAACCCCAGGAUUCACCCCCUGGACAAUUUCGAAUCCCGGUUAGGGCGGUUGGUACCUUCCAGUGGACUCACCACCCGCAGGAAGGUUU